GCCUCUAUAGCUCAGUGGGAGAGCGCUUGACUUGUACCUAAGUGAUAUCAAGAGGUCCGUGGUUCAAUCCCGCGUGGAGGCA
rnacentral:tRNA from 1 species